rnacentral:misc_RNA from 2 species
CUAAGGAUAAUAAAAAUCAUCAUCUUCAGUUUUGAAAGACUUAGAUUGAAAAAGUAAGUUUUUCUUUUUUUAAGCGCCAAAGGGCCUAUAGCUCAGUUGGUUAGAGCACACGCCUGAUAAGCGUGAGGUCGGUGGUUCAAGUCCAUUUAGGCCCACCAUUAUUAAAACAAGGUCCUGCUUAAAAUAAAGUUCUUUGAAAAGUAGAUAAAUAUAGCUCUAUAAUUCUGAAAUAAAGUU